rnacentral:piRNA from 1 species
UGGGAUUAAAGGCACCACAGCAGGAUCUUAU